rnacentral:tRNA from 1 species
GGCUUCAUAGCUCAGUUGGUAGAGCAUCGCACUAGUAACGCGCAGAGAUCAUGGGUUCAAAUCCCUUUUUUUCAGGCUU